CCCACACAGGAGACAGAGGAAUCGACCCCGAGCUCCCAAACUCAGGGGUUUAUAUAGGGGAGUGCAGGGCUAUCUGAGAGGUGCCUGGUCCCAUGCUACACGGAAGUGAGACAUCCAGGUGACCACUGUGCUGACAAAGCUGGGAUCACAUUGCCAGUCCACCACUGGGAUCUACUCAGUAGUCACGAGAUUCCCCGAAGCUGGGCCUGCUGGGCUCUGUCAGCGUCCAGCAUCCAUCUACGAGCACCCAGGUGUCUCUGCAUCAUCGCCCUGUGAUGCUUCUAAAUCUCACUCACCAGGAUGCUCCUGCAGCAAGGAGGUCAGGCCUUCCAGAGGGCUGCCUGGGGCUUAAGUCGACGGUGGACUUCAUCACCACUACUUUACGGUACAUGCAGGUGCAGUCACAUGAUAUGUUUAACUUGUGUACUUGUCCAUGUGUACAUGCAUGUGUUGUUUCAACUUUAUGUGUAUGUAGUGUGUGUUUACACAUGUAUUUCAGUCUCAAAUGUCAUUUCACAGGUGCUGAACACCUUGACUUUUGGACACCGGUUUACUCAAGGCCGUCGAGGUUGAAAUGCACCUGUCUUAGCUGGAUGGUGGUGGCACAUGCUUUAGUCAGGAGGAAGAAGACAGGGAUCUCAGUUCUGGGAUAUCCUGGUCUACAGAGCUGUAGAUGUCCCGCUCUUGUCUUGCACCCCAGCCAAAUCCCAUUACCGACCUGAGGGCCAGGAACAGCAGUGUGUCUAUGCAACUUCCUCCAGGGACAUUUCCGGGCAGCCCAGGCCAUCUUCAGUGUUCCAUGAAUCCCAGUUUAAGAAAGAGCACGUGCGACCUGCCUGACUGGAAUUUGUGUGCAAGAAGAGACGGGGACAGAGACACAGACAGAACCUCACAGUGCAUGGACGUCAAGGAGUCAUCAGGAUGCGAGGCCAGAUCUCCAACCCAGGCUGGCCAGAGUCUCCGGGAAGUCCUCGUUGGUUUUGUCUGAUUAGCUAGCCUGUUCCAGAGGCUGAAG
ensembl:lncRNA